GGGGGAUUAGCUCAGUUGGCUAGAGCGUUUGGCUGGCAGCCAAAAGGCCACCGGUUCGAAUCCGGUAUUCUCCA
rnacentral:tRNA from 4 species